rnacentral:rRNA from 1 species
AAAUUGACCUCGGAUCAGGUAG